rnacentral:rRNA from 1 species
UACAGAGGUCUCAAGCGUUGUUCGGAUUCAUUGGGCGUAAAGGGUGCGUAGGUGGCAUGGUCAGUCGGAUGUGAAAUCCCGGGGCUCAACCCCGGAACUGCAUUCGAUACUGCCGCGCUAGAGUACUGGAGAGGAGAUUGGAAUUUACGGUGUAGCAGUGAAAUGCGUAGAUAUCGUAAGGAAGACCAGUGGCGAAGGCGGAUCUCUGGACAGUUACUGACACUGAGGCACGAAGGCCAGGGGAGCAAACGGG